UGGGGAAUAUUGCACAAUGGAGGAAACUCUGAUGCAGCAACGCCGCGUGAGCGAUGAAGGCCUUUGGGUCGUAAAGCUCUGUCCUUGGGGAAGAAACAAAUGACGGUACCCUUGGAGGAAGCCCCGGCUAACUCCGUGCCAGCAGCCGCGGUAAUACGGAGGGGGCAAGCGUUAUCCGGAAUUAUUGGGCGUAAAGGGUACGUAGGUGGUUUUUUAAGCGUAGGGUUUAAGGCAACAGCUCAACUGUUGUUCGCCCUACGAACUGGAGAACUUGAGUGCAGGAGAGGAAAGCGGAAUUCCUAGUGUAGCGGUGAAAUGCGUAGAUAUUAGGAGGAACACCGGUGGCGAAGGCGGCUUUCUGGACUGUAACUGACACUGAGGUACGAAAGCGUGGGGAGCAAACA
rnacentral:rRNA from 1 species